UACGGAGGGUGCAAGCGUUGUUCGGAAUUACUGGGCGUAAAGGGCGUGUAGGCGGUGUGGUAAGUCAGAUGUGAAAGCCCUGGGCUUAACCCAGGAAGUGCAUUUGAAACUGCCAUGCUUGAGUAUGGGAGAGGAGAGUGGAAUUCCCAGUGUAGAGGUGAAAUUCGUAGAUAUUGGGAGGAACACCCGUGGCGAAGGAGACUCUCUGGACCAAUACUGACGCUGAGGCGCGAAAGCGUGGGGAGCAAACAGG
rnacentral:rRNA from 1 species